rnacentral:rRNA from 1 species
CUGUGAGGCAUGCUGGAGGUAUCAGAAGUGCGAAUGCUGACAUAAGUAACGAUAAAGCGGGUGAAAAGCCCGCUCGCCGGAAGACCAAGGGUUCCUGUCCAACGUUAAUCGGGGCAGGGUGAGUCGACCCCUAAGGCGAGGCCGAAAGGCGUAGUCGAUGGGAAACAGGUUAAUAUUCCUGUACUUGGUGUUACUGCGAAGGGGGGACGGAGAAGGCUAUGUCAGCCGGGCGACGGUUGUCCCGGUUUAAGCAUGUAGGCGGAGGUUCCAGGUAAAUCCGGUACCUUAUUAACGCUGAGGUGUGAUGACGAGGCACUACGGUGCUGAAGUGAUAAAUGCCCUGCUUCCAGGAAAAGCCUCUAAGCAUCAGGUAACACGAAAUCGUACCCCAAACCGACACAGGUGGUCAGGUAGAGAAUACCAAGGCGCUUGAGAGAACUCGGGUGAAGGAACUAGGCAAAAUGGUGCCGUAACUUCGGGAGAAGGCACGCUGAUGUGUAGGUGAAGCCCCUGCGGACGGAGCUGAAAUCAGUCGAAGAUACCAGCUGGCUGCAACUGUUUAUUAAAAACACAGCACUGUGCAAACACGAAAGUGGACGUAUACGGUGUGACGCCUGCCCGGUGCCGGAAGGUUAAUUGAUGGGGUUAGCGGCAACGCGAAGCUCUUGAUCGAAGCCCCGGUAAACGGCGGCCGUAACUAUAACGGUCCUAAGGUAGCGAAAUUCCUUGUCGGGUAAGUUCCGACCUGCACGAAUGGCGUAAUGAUGGCCAGGCUGUCUCCACCCGAGACUCAGUGAAAUUGAACUCGCUGUGAAGAUGCAGUGUACCCGCGGCAAGACGGAAAGACCCCGUGAACCUUUACUAUAGCUUGACACUGAACACUGGUCCUUGAUGUGUAGGAUAGGUGGGAGGCUUUGAAGCGUGGACGCCAGUCUGCGUGGAGCCNGACCCGUAAUCCGGGUUGCGGACAGUGUCUGGUGGGUAGUUUGACUGGGGCGGUCUCCUCCCAAAGAGUAACGGAGGAGCACGAAGGUUGGCUAAUCCUGGUCGGACAUCAGGAGGUUAGUGCAAUGGCAUAAGCCAGCUUGACUGCGAGCGUGACGGCGCGAGCAGGUGCGAAAGCAGGUCAUAGUGAUCCGGUGGUUCUGAAUGGAAGGGCCAUCGCUCAACGGAUAAAAGGUACUCCGGGGAUAACAGGCUGAUACCGCCCAAGAGUUCAUAUCGACGGCGGUGUUUGGCACCUCGAUGUCGGCUCAUCACAUCCUGGGGCUGAAGUAGGUCCCAAGGGUAUGGCUGUUCGCCAUUUAAAGUGGUACGCGAGCUGGGUUUAGAACGUCGUGAGACAGUUCGGUCCCUAUCUGCCGUGGGCGCUGGAGAAUUGAGGGGGGCUGCUCCUAGUACGAGAGGACCGGAGUGGACGCAUCACUGGUGUUCGGGUUGUCAUGCCAAUGGCACUGCCCGGUAGCUAAAUGCGGAAGAGAUAAGUGCUGAAAGCAUCUAAGCACGAAACUUGCCCCGAGAUGAGUUCUCCCUGAGACUUUAAGUCUCCUGAAGGAACGUUGAAGACGACGACGUUGAUAGGUCGGGUGUGUAAGCGCAGCGAUGCGUUGAGCUAACCGAUACUAAUGAACCGUGAGGCUUAACCUU